GCUCCAGUGGCGCGAUCGGUUAGCGCGUGGUACUGAUAAUGCUGAGGUCGUGAGUUCAAGUCUCACCUGGAGCA